rnacentral:rRNA from 1 species
ACGAACGCUGGCGGCGUGCUUAACACAUGCAAGUCGAACGAGGUCCAUGGAGUAGCAAUACUCCGGAAGACCUAGUGGCGAACGGGUGCGUAACACGUGAGGAACUUGUCCCGGUCUCUGGGAUAACAGUUGGAAACGACUGCUAAUACCGGAUGACGUCGGAGCGUCGCAUGGCGCGCUGACGAAAGGGUUACCGGAUCGGGAGAGCCUCGCGGCCUAUCAGCUUGUUGGCGGGGUAACGGCCCACCAAGGCAUCGACGGGUAGCUGGUCUGAGAGGAUGAUCAGCCACACUGGGACUGAGACACGGCCCAGACUCCUACGGGAGGCAGCAGUGGGGAAUCUUGCGCAAUGGGCGAAAGCCUGACGCAGCAACGCCGCGUGCGGGAAGAAGGCCCUCGGGUUGUAAACCGCUUUCAGCAGGAACGAAAAUGACGGUACUUGCAGAAGAAGGUGCGGCCAACUACGU